GUCUUUUUGUUAAAAAUUUAAAGUCGGGCCUGCCCACUGAAUUUUAAAUGGCCGUGGUAUUUUGACCGUGCUAAGGUAGCAUAAUCAUUAGUUUUUUAAUUGAAAGCUGGAAUGAAGGGUUUGAUAAAAAAAUGACUGUCUCUAUUUAAUUUUAUUAUAAUUUUAUUUUUAAGUUCAAAAGCUUAAUUUAUAUUAAAAGACGAGAAGACCCUAUAGAGUUUAAUAAUUAAAUUUAAUUUUUAUUUUAGAAUUGAUUUAUUUAUUAUUUUAUAUUAUUUAGUUGGGGUGAUUGAAAAAUUUAAUUAACUUUUUUUAUAUUUAACCAUUAAUUUAUGAUUAUUUGAUCCAAUAUUGUUGAUUAUAAGAUAAAAUUACCUUAGGGAUAACAGCGUAAUUUUUUUAGAAAGUUCAAAUUAAAAGAAAAGAUUGCGACCUCGAUGUUGGAUUAAAAUUUAAUUUUGGUGUAGAAGCUAAAAAGUUUAAGUCUGUUCGACUUUUAAAAUUUUACA
rnacentral:rRNA from 1 species